rnacentral:rRNA from 1 species
GCACAAGCGGUGGAUGAUGUGGAUUAAUUCGAUGCAACGCGAAAACCUUACCUACCCUUGACAUGUCCGGAAUCCCGAAGAGAUUUGGGAGUGCUCGCAAGAGAGCCGGAACACAGGUGCUGCAUGGGCUGUCGUCAGCUCGUGUCGUGAGAUGUUGGGUUAAGUCCCGCAACGAGCGCAACCCUUGUCAUUAGUUGCCAUCAUUUGGUUGGGCACUCUAAUGAGACUGCCGGUGACAAACCGGAGGAAGGUGGGGAUGACGUCAAGUCCUCAUGGCCCUUAUGGGUAGGGCUUCACACGUCAUACAAUGGUCGGUACAGAGGGUUGCCAACCCGCGAGGGGGAGCUAAUCCCACAAAGCCGAUCGUAGUCCGGAUCGCAGUCUGCAACUCGACUGCGUGAAGUCGGAAUCGCUAGUAAUCGCAGAUCAGCAUGCUGCGGUGAAUACGUUCCCGGGCCUU